AGAGUUUGAUCCUGGCUCAGAACGAACGCUGGCGGCGUGCCUAACACAUGCAAGUCGAACGAGGUAGCAAUACCGAGUGGCGGACGGGUGAGUAAGACAUAGGUGAUCUGCCCUUUUGUGGGGGAUACCCAGCCGAAAGGUUGGCUAAUACCGCAUACGCUCUUUGGUUUAGAGGCCGAAGAGGAAAGAUUUAUCGCAGA
rnacentral:rRNA from 1 species